rnacentral:rRNA from 1 species
UACAGAGGGGGCAAGCGUUGUUCGGAAUUACUGGGCGUAAAGGGCGCGUAGGCGACCUUCUAAGUCGAACGUGAAAUCCCCGGGCUCAACCCGGGAACUGCGUCCGAUACUGGAAGGCUUGAAUCCGGGAGAGGGAUGCGGAAUUCCAGGUGUAGCGGUGAAAUGCGUAGAUAUCUGGAGGAACACCGGUGGCGAAGGCGGCAUCCUGGACCGGUAUUGACGCUGAGGCGCGAAAGCCAGGGGAGCAAACGGG